GGACUUCGUUAGCCCUGGUGGCCUUUUCGAUAAAUGAAUGGUAGCUGUCUUCCCCGUUUAGCCGCAGAACUAGAAAGUAAGAACUGCCCUAGGCCUUCUCAGUCGGCGCUUCCUUAUCAUGAAUAGGAAGAGGUUUGAAGAAAGCCAAUGGGACACCUCAAGACUAGGACUUUCAAAAGGACUUCUCUUCGGUCAGGCGAGUAGAGGAUACGCUUUGUCGCCUUCUGAGCUCUACGAAAGAACUCUCGCUUUCUAAACCCAUAGGCCUAAGCCGAAAAGGUGGACGGGUAGAGGAGCGAAAGUAAGCCUACAACUAGGCAGCCGAUUGCUAGGACCGACAGUAGCAGUAAGACUUCCAACCAUUAGCAAGGCAAGUUAACUGAAGCAAGAACUCUUAGGCAAGGAGGGGCGUAGCCUCUUUCGAGAUUCGAAGAAUGGCGUAUAAAAAGNGUAAGUCAGAGGCAAUUCGCUAAUAUGGAGCUGUUUAUAUCGGCUGAAGGAAGAGUCAAUAGGUGCACCAAUCAGCCAUGGGAUAGGACAAUCCGGAUCUUCUGAUCUUGUGGCAACCGGUCGAUGGUCAACAAAGGAUCCUGUCUCAAAGGACAUUUUCGUGGACUGUAUCGCCAUCUUAGGACCCUUGAGGGAACCAUUGCUGGGUCUGGAAACGUGCUAAAUAACGCAUUUUUUGAACCGGAAAGUCUGUAUCGACUAAGAACCUAACCUACAAAGGGGUUGACCUCGGAACCCCAAAACCAGGGACUCAUCUCGGAUUCAUCCAGUUUGGAUAGUUAGAAGACUGGGCUGUAGAGGAAAAGAAUCUCUAUGACCUUCUGACUUUCUCGUGAACAGCCUUUAGUGGUUAGAGAAGGGGCAGCUUUGUAACCUGAUCUUGGGAUAAUAGGUGCAUGGGGAAGGUCACCUACAACUUUGAAAUCGUAAUGCAAGAAGGAAGUCUUUCUUUUUUGCCUUCUAUCGCGGUGGGAUAUUUUGAUCUUGAACUCAAUCGUACUGUCUAUGAUGU
rnacentral:lncRNA from 1 species